GAGGAAAAGAAACUAACAAGGAUUCCCCUAGUAACGGCGAGUGAACCGGGAAGAGCUCAAAUUUGAAAUCUGGCGUCCUCAGGGCGUCCGAGUUGUAAUCUAUAGAGGCGUUUUCCGUGCCGGACCGUGUCCAAGUUCCUUGGAACAGGAUAUCAAAGAGGGUGACAAUCCCGUACUUGACACGACGACCGGUGCUCUGUGAUACGUCUUCUACGAGUCGAGUUGUUUGGGAAUGCAGCUCAAAAUGGGUGGUGAGUUCCAUCUAAAGCUAAAUAUUGGCGAGAGACCGAUAGCGAACAAGUACCGUGAGGGAAAGAUGAAAAGCACUUUGGAAAGAGAGUUAAACAGUACGUGAAAUUGUUGAAAGGGAAACGAUUGAAGUCAGUCGUGACCGAGAGGCUCAGCCGGUUCUGCCGGUGUAUUCCCCUCGGUCGGGUCAACAUCAGUUUUGUCUGGUGGAUAAGGGCGGUAGGAAGGUGGCACCCUCGGGUGUGUUAUAGCCUGCCGUCGCAUACAUCGGGUGAGACUGAGGAACGCAGCUCGCCUUUAUGGCCGGGGUUCGCCCACGUCCGAGCUUAGGAUGUUGACAUAAUGGCUUUAAACGACCCGUCUUGAAA
rnacentral:rRNA from 1 species